rnacentral:lncRNA from 1 species
AGAAAAGGACCACGAGCUGAAAACUUUCCACUCAAUUGAACCAAUCGCUGCUCGUAUGUCCUUUCAUGGUAAAGUACAUCGAGUCAUGAACACGGAAAUACGCAGCAAAGACCUUGUUACUCAAAGACCCAGCUACUCUCUGACAGUCACCAUCAGACCAUCAGACCACCAGAUGGACAGGCUGUGUGUUUCUCUGAUUGCAUUCUUAUGUGAGUAACUUUUAUACUGGGCCUUAUAGCUGGAUGAUAGAUGAUUUCUUGAUGUGGUUUUAUGGUUGACCAGAUUUGUUAUCUAAUUAUUGUGAUAUUGUGAUGACUGUGGUAAAGACAUGAUGUGUAUAUUUUCAUGUAGAGAAGUUUAUGAUAUCAACAUGACAUUCUGUGAUUCAUCCUAACACUGUUCCUCUGCUACCUGUAGGUGCUGUUUCCUCCAGUCAGUUCAUCCUAACACUGUUCCUCUGCUACCUGUAGGUGCUGUUUCCUCCAGUCAGUUCAUCCUAAC